GUCUGGAUAGCUCAGUCAGUAGAACAUCAGACUUUUAAUCUGAGGGUCCUGGGGUUCAAAUCCUUCUUUAGGUG
rnacentral:tRNA from 1 species